rnacentral:rRNA from 1 species
CCUACGGGUGGCAGCAGUGAGGAAUAUUGGUCAAUGGACGAGAGUCUGAACCAGCCAAGUAGCGUGAAGGAUGACUGCCCUAUGGGUUGUAAACUUCUUUUAUAUGGGAAUAAAAUGUUCCACGUGUGGGAUUUUGUAUGUACCAUAUGAAUAAGGAUCGGCUAACUCCGUGCCAGCAGCCGCGGUAAUACGGAGGAUCCGAGCGUUAUCCGGACUUAUUGGGUUUAAAGGGAGCGUAGGUGGAUUGUUAAGUCAGUUGUGAAAGUUUGCGGCUCAACCGUAAAAUUGCAGUUGAAACUGGCAGUCUUGAGUACAGUAGAGGUGGGCGGAAUUCGUGGUGUAGCGGUGAAAUGCUUAGAUAUCACGAAGAACUCCGAUUGCGAAGGCAGUUCACUGGACUGCAACUGACACUGAGGCUCGAAAGUGUGGGUAUCAAACAGGAUUAGAUACCCGUGUAGUC